UGGGGAAUAUUGCACAAUGGGCGAAAGCCUGAUGCAGCAACGCCGCGUGAGUGAUGAAGGCCUUCGGGUUGUAAAGCUCUGUCUUUUGGGACGAUAAUGACGGUACCAAAGGAGGAAGCCACGGCUAACUACGUGCCAGCAGCCGCGGUAAUACGUAGGUGGCAAGCGUUGUCCGGAUUUACUGGGCGUAAAGGAUGCGUAGGCGGAUUUUUAAGUGAGAUGUGAAAACCCUAAGCUUAACUUGGGGACUGCAUUUCAUACUGGAAAUCUAGAGUGCGGGAGAGGAGAAUGGAAUUCCUAGUGUAGCGGUGAAAUGCGUAGAGAUUAGGAAGAACACCAGUGGCGAAGGCGAUUCUCUGGACCGUAACUGACGCUGAGGCAUGAAAGCGUGGGUAACAAACAGGAUUAGAUACCCUGGUAGUCCACGCCGUAAACGAUGAGUACUAGGUGUAGGAGGUAUCGACCCCGUUCUGUGCCGCAGUUAACACAAUAAGUA
rnacentral:rRNA from 1 species